AUCCAGUCCCUCCCAGUCUCUCCCAGUAUAUCCCAGUACCCCCAAUCCCUCCCAGUUUGUCCCAGUCUCUUCCAGUCCAUCCCAGUAUAACCCAGUCCAUCCCAGUCCAUCCCAGUAUAAACCAGUACCCCCCAGUAUAUCCCAGUCCCCCCCAGUCCCAUCCCAGUCCCUCCCAGUCCAUCCCAGUAUAACUCAGUCCAUCCCAGUCCCUCCCAGUCCAUCCCAGUCCCAUCCCAGUACCCCCUAGUCCAUCCCAGUAUAAAUCAGUCCCAUCCCAGUCCAUCCCAGUCCCUCCCAAUCGCAUCCCAGUAUAAACCAGUCCCAUCCCAGUCCAUCCCAGUAUCCCCCAGUCCCUCCCAGUCCAUCCCAGUUCCCAUUCCCAGUAUAUCCCAGUCCCUCCCAGUUUAUCCCAGUCCCUCCCAGUUCCCUCCCAGUUCAUCCCAGUUUGCUCCCAGUCCGCCUCAGUCCAUCUCAGUUCCCCCCUAGUUUAUCCCAGUUAUCCCCCAAAACCUCUCCAAGUCCCUCCCAGUCCCUCCCAGUUUCUCCCAUUUCC
rnacentral:lncRNA from 1 species